rnacentral:rRNA from 1 species
GAUGAACGCUGGCGGCGUGCUUAACACAUGCAAGUCGAACGGAAAGGCCCAAGCUUGCUUGGGUACUCGAGUGGCGAACGGGUGAGUAACACGUGGGUGAUCUGCCCUGCACUUCGGGAUAAGCCUGGGAAACUGGGUCUAAUAUCCGAUAGGACCACAUUUUGGAUGGGGUGGUGGAAAGUUUUUCGGUGUGGGAUGGGCUCGCGGCCUAUCAGCUUGUUGGUGGGGUAAUGGCCUACCAAGGCGUCGACGGGUAGCCGGCCUGAGAGGGUGUACGGCCACAUUGGGACUGAGAUACGGCCCAGACUCCUACGGGAGGCAGCAGUGGGGAAUAUUGCACAAUGGGCGCAAGCCUGAUGCAGCGACGCCGCGUGGGGGAUGACGGCCUUCGGGUUGUAAACUCCUUUCGCUAGGGACGAAGCGCAAGUGACGGUACCUGGAGAAGAAGCACCGGCUAACUACGUG